GACGAGGGGUGCAAACGUUAUUCGGAAUGAUUGGGCGUAAAGGGUGCGUAGGCGGCGUAUUAAGUCAAUCGUUAAAUUUCUCAGCCUAACUGGGAGUGUGCGGUAGAAACUGAUAUGCUAGAGAGUGGAAGAGAGAAGUGGAAUUCUCGGAGUAGCGGUAAAAUGCGUAGAUCUCGAGAGGAACACCGAUGGCGAAGGCAGCUUCUUGGUCCAUUUCUGACGCUGAGGCACGAAAGCGUGGGGAGCAAACAGG
rnacentral:rRNA from 1 species